UGAGGAAUAUUGGUCAAUGGACGCAAGUCUGAACCAGCCAAGUAGCGUGCAGGAUGACGGCCCUAUGGGUUGUAAACUGCUUUUAUAUGGAGAUAAAGUGGGGAACGUGUUCCCUUUUGCAGGUACCAUAUGAAUAAGGACCGGCUAAUUCCGUGCCAGCAGCCGCGGUAAUACGGAAGGUUCGGGCGUUAUCCGGAUUUAUUGGGUUUAAAGGGAGCGUAGGCCGUUUGGUAAGCGUGUUGUGAAAUGUAGGAGCUCAACUUCUAGAUUGCAGCGCGAACUGGCAGACUUGAGUGCGCACAACGUAGGCGGAAUUCAUGGUGUAGCGGUGAAAUGCUUAGAUAUCAUGACGAACUCCGAUUGCGAAGGCAGCUUACGGGAGCGCAACUGACGCUAAAGCUCGAAGGUGCGGGUAUCGAACAGG
rnacentral:rRNA from 1 species